UACGGAGGGUGCAAGCGUUAUCCGGAUUCACUGGGUUUAAAGGGUGCGUAGGCGGGCAGGUAAGUCAGGGGUGAAAUCUUCGAGCUUAACUCGGAAACUGCCUUUGAUACUAUCUGUCUUGAAUAUGGUGGAGGUAAGCGGAAUAUGUCAUGUAGCGGUGAAAUGCUUUGAUAUGACAUAGAACACCUAUUGCGAAGGCAGCUUACUACGCCUAUAUUGACGCUGAGGCACGAAAGCGUGGGGAUCAAACAGG
rnacentral:rRNA from 1 species